UGGGGAAUAUUGGACAAUUGGCGCAAGCCUGAUCCAGCCAUGCCGCGUGAGUGAUGAAGGCCCUAGGGUUGUAAAGCUCUUUCACCGGUGAAGAUAAUGACGGUAACCGGAGAAGAAGCCCCGGCUAACUUCGUGCCAGCAGCCGCGGUAAUACGACGGGGGCUAGCGUUGUUCGGAUUUACUGGGCGUAAAGCGCACGUAGGCGGACUUUUAAGUCAGGGGUGAAAUCCCGGGGCUCAACCCCGGAACUGCCUUUGAUACUGGAAGUCUUGAGUAUGGUAGAGGUGAGUGGAAUUCCGAGUGUAGAGGUGAAAUUCGUAGAUAUUCGGAGGAACACCAGUGGCGAAGGCGGCUCACUGGACCAUUACUGACGCUGAGGUGCGAAAGCGUGGGGAGCAAACAGG
rnacentral:rRNA from 1 species